UACGGGGGGGGCAAGCGUUGUUCGGAAUUACUGGGCGUAAAGGGCUCGUAGGCGGCCAACUAAGUCAGACGUGAAAUCCCCAGGCUCAACCUGGGAACUGCGUCUGAUACUGGAUGGCUUGAAUUCGGGAGAGGGAUGCAGAAUCCAGGUGUAGCGGUGAAAUGCGUAGAUAUCUGGAGGAAUACCGGUGGCGAAGGCGGCAUCCUGGACCGACAUUGACGCUGAUGAGCGAAAGCUAGGGGAGCAAACGGG
rnacentral:rRNA from 1 species